rnacentral:rRNA from 1 species
CCCUUAGAUGUUCUGGGCGGCCCGCGCACUACAAUGGCGCUUUCAGCGAGUUCCUAUGUUGAAUUUUCCUUGGUAUUCUUGGAAGCGGCGUCUUGACUUGGGAUAGAUCCUUGUAAUUGUUGGUUUUGAACGAGGAAUUCCUUGUAAUCGCGGUUGAUCAGCUCGCGUUGAAUACGUCCCUGCCCUUUGUACACACCGCCCGUCGCUCCUACCGAUGAAUCGUCCGGUGAAGUUCACGGAGUGGCGGUUCGUGGAGUUGCUCGCGAAGUGAAAUGGACCUCACGAUUUAGAGGAAGGAGAAGUCGUAACA